UGUUUAUUGAUCUGUGUGUGAGACAGCGAAGGAGUUUAACAGCCGAUUGCAAAGCACAAAUGUAUCACCCCAAAAUAACGACAAGAUCAUUUAAUUGAAGCAGUUGAUGGAAAACAACAGGGGGAAUAGGAAGCGCCAACCUCUGGGGGGACAGACAAAUCAAAUAUCUCGACUGGCGUUUAUUGCUAACCGUACAACUAUUAAUAGUGCCAGAACAGGUAAAAAUAGCCAGCUUGAAGUCUGCUCCUUGGUUAACAGACUUCAGCCACGGAAAAUCCAUUUGCUGCCUCCAAAAGGCUCAUUGGCGACAGCAAAGGCAGAGCACACCACAAGGCAAAUGUGCCGCCAGGAUCCUGUGGGCUCGGCUCAGGGGUGCCAUCCUGAUGGGGACACCCCAAAAGCAAUGGCAGGGACCCUGGGCAGACGGAGGAGAGCUGAUGGCUGCGGGAGCUCCGGGGGAGGGAAUAUGGGCACUGCCUGUGCUAUUCCAGAGCCCAGCUCCUUGCAGUCACACAGAGCUUAAGGAGAGGAGCAUUACAAGGCGUUAGGCUGAGUCCCCCCAAGAUCAUCUAGAAACGUGUCUCAUGGUGGAAGCAGAGCACAUUUGCCGGGAGCUGGCUGCCAGUGACUGAUGAUGCAGGACCCACCUCGCUGUGAGGCAAAGCCUUCCCACGGUUAUGACUCUGCUAAAAAUCACCACCUAUUUCUGACCUGGCUGCAAACAGCCUGAGUCUUAAGCAGGGGCAGGCAAAAUAGCAUUUUCCCCACGGCUGCCAUACCGCCUGCACAGUCUGACCCUGCCCUUUGCGGGGUGUUUUGCUCCUCACCCAGUUUUGGAGGAUACAGGAUCUUUCACAAAGGUGCUCGGUACAGCAAGAGCUGCAGGCAGACUGCUGUGCGCAAAACCCAGUGGCUGCAGACACCUUUAAUGGAAUCAAACACCUUCAGCACACAUCAGCCCCCCUUUUCUUGCUGUUCCUCUCCCUACCUGCACCCUCCUGGGGUUUACCAGCCACCUGCUGAGGGACAAAACCCACCCAGUGACCACGAGCAAGUGGCUGAGGGAGGGAGAUUCCAUGAAAGUCACACAAACAUCCCAGUGACAGAACAUGCGACUCCUCAGGGUCUGGCUUGGACGAACUGUGCAAGAGGCAAAAUAGAGCUCACAGCAGCAUCAGCCUCGCAAAAAUGUAGGAAGCAAGAUGUACCAGGAGGCAGGAGUGUGCACCACGCCGCCUGGCCCAGGGACAGGCGAGCGGGGGGAUACUUGGAAAAGAACAAUGACAUCAGAACAUGGCUUUGAUUUCCGAGUGUGCUGCGGAGCUGGGAAGUAUCGUCACCCCGGGGUCGAGCUGGCCUCGGCUCACAGCUGGGUCCUACGGGUGCAAGCGGUGAAAAAACCCAGGCUGGAAGGGCUGUUCCUGCCUCUCCCGCCCCGGCACACGCAGACCCCGCAGCCUCUCCCAAGCUAUGGAGAGGAGCACAUCCGACUCGAGCUCCUUACCGUUGCUCUUAGGUUGCUUUGCAUCCUACCAGGGGUUUGUCCCCUGCACAGCAGCACACAGCAUCCCUGGGCUCUGGACCAGGGCUUUGGGAGCACGCACACAGAGCCAAGCCUGCCCCCCAAUUCCUGUUUUUCCACUCCCAGACAGGGACCUGGUCUUCAGACAGGCCCCCCCUCCCAGUUUGUGUACAGCACCCCGGCGUGCUGCUUGUUAGCCCGCUCACAAAUAACCAACAUGGGCUGUGCGUUUCCCAGCGGCUACUGGGGAACAGUGGGGUCUUGUGGGACCCCAAAUCCUGCCUUGGCUGCUCUCCUGGGACGAGAGAAGGAGCAAGGGGCUGGAGGAAGAGUGGAGCAGCUGGGUAUGGAAGGGAAAGGAGGCUUUAGCUAUAGCUCUUGCUUGUCCCCCUGGGAAAAAGCAUCUGAUUAAAUCAAGAUGCAACAUCCAGGGUUGCUAUUCAUUCCCUAUAUUAUUAGCUUGUCUCAUUUUAUUAAAUCUCCUUUAAGGCUUUUCAGAAGAAGCACGUAAUUCACAACAUAUAAUUUUUCCCAGAUGAGAUAUGAUGCAGAAGUGGGCUGCUUUGUCGCUGGGGACCAGGGGGGUGGGUUUAUUUGUUUCCUUCCCCCACCCCCUACUUCUUUAGCAACACUUUCAUGUCUCUUGAUUCCUUUUAGCAUUUGGGAUUUGAUUAAAAGAGAACCUGAAAGCCUGAGACAUGCCUUAAAUCCCCAGUUCCUUGAGUCAUCCAGGCAAGGGGUGGUGAGAGCUCCCUUGGAGACACCAUCCCUGUGCCCAGCACAAUGCAGCUCCCGGAGCAGCCUUGUGCUGUGCCGUGGUCUCCGGACUUUCUGCAUCAGCUCCCCUUCUCCCAUCUUUGGUGUGUGUUUGCUGCAAUAAACUCGCCAGAGUCCCAGGGAUGGGGCUGCAAUGCCGGUAUCGCAGUGCAAAGCCAGGGAAGUGGUGUUAUCCAGGGGCUCACUCGGUGCCACUGCUUUCCUUACCGGCAGCACAAACACGUGCUGGAUGACCAAGCAUGUGGUGAGCGCUGGAUUUCUGCUGGCACCACACCGCAGGGGGCUUGGUUCCACUGCCUCACACCCCAGGGACAGUGCUCUGCUCUCCAGCAGAGGCUGUGGAACCAUCUCCACGCUGAGUGCACCCAGGUGACAUGAACCCAUUGUCAAUAACCAUGAGGCACAGCUGGGCCAAGAGCUCCAUACAGAGCAGAACUGGGGUUCCCCAAGCCAGGGGCAGCCUGGGAAUCCUCUGCUCCCAGUUUCCAUCCCACCUCAUGCCAGCCUUUUGCCCACAGUUUGCUCCAAGGCAGCAGCAUGCUGCCGGCAUCCAGCAUGGACAAAAGGCGUUUGCAUGUCCUGGAUGUGUCCCCAAACUCGAGUGCCUUCUGCUCCCUUCCAGAGAGCAGCAGCCUCCCUGGGAUUAGAGAGAAAUGUCACCUGUAACUGGAGAUGGGCAGCGACAGGGCCCCGAAUAUGAGGCACGGCGGAGAGGGAGGCUCUGUGACCCCAGCGGUCGCAUUGCUACAGAUUUCAGGUGGGUUCCCUCCGGCUGCCAGGGUAGGACAAAACUCAAAGCCCAAGAGGAGGUGCGGAGCCAGCUGGGCAGCAACGGAUGGAACCAGCAGAGGGAUGCGCAGCCAGUGCCGAGGGCUUGGAGCCUGGAGGUGCUUUGCGUCUCGGUCCUGCAUGUGCCCCCACUCCUCCGGCGGCGGGGUCCGGAGGGGGCUGAGGGCAGCGCAGGGCUUGAGGCUGGGGGUGGAGGUGUGGGGCGGGGGGGCUUGAGCUGGGUGAGGGCUGAGCCCAACACGAGGACCCUCGAGGCUUCUCUCAGCCUUGGUGCAGCCCAAAGCAGGACACAGGCAGAGCUUGGCCCCGACAUUGCCUUCCUGGGGGGCUCUGGCUGCUCUGCCUCCCCCCUGCAACCCUGAUUCAGAAAGGAACCGCUCGGUAAACAGUUCCCCUCUGAAGAAAACGCAACAUGGGAAAAGCAGCACAUUCCUAGGAUUUUUUUUUUUUUUUUUUGAAAUAAGAUCCAAGGAGGAUGCAGCACAGCGUGGCCAGCUCACUGGCUGUCCCGGGGUGGCUUUUUAGUGUGGAAAUUAAAGAAAACAGCCUUGUAACUUGUCCUCUGGCACAUGGCGGGAGCUCCAUGCGUAAAGACCCCUGGGGUGGAGGGCGGAGGUGGGCCGGGGUGGGGUGGAUGGUGUCUCCACACCGUCCCUCAGGGGUGAUGAGAAGGGCAGGGGGAAUGGUGGGUAUGGGGCGCUGCCCUCCCUGGGCUGGGGGUCAUAUUGAAGCAUCCCCUGGGCACUGGUGAGGCGGGGGCUGCCUGCAUCCACAGACCCCAGAGCAGGAGCCUGCCAGCAGUGACUGUGAGGCUCAACCCUCGCUCUACUGAGGCAGGACGGAUCCUGGUCCUGCCACAGGCAUUUGUUUAGGCUCCAACACUGGUGGUUUCCCACCGGGAAAUAGCUUCCCACCAGGGCGCUCUCCCAUUGCAUUUCUCUGUGACCAUUUAAAACCCAGACUGCCUUCCCUGCACAGCAGGGACAGAGGGGACUGAUUUAUUCCCCCGUAAAGGUAAGUCCUGCUGUGUCUGCCUUCCCUGGAUUAAGGGGUCCCUGAUAAAGCACUCAGUGCCCACACUACCCCGAAAGCCCCCAUACCACCUGCACUCAAAGCUCAUCUUUGCUUUUGCAUCAAAUCCCAACCGCUGGCAGACCAGGCAGUCCCCCCUGCCCACGAGCGGCUGUGCAGGGACUCAGCCCCAGCGUCAGGAUGGGUGCGGGAGCCACUGCCAGGGUCCUGAGCCCCCGUUUCCUUCCCUAGCCAAGCGUGACCAGCAAUCCAAGCCUGGCAGGAGCCCAGGGACAUGGUGACUUCUCCAUCGCUCCACCAAUGCGACACACGCUGCAUCAAUUGCACCAUGUGUUUACUCUCCGUUCCCGGCUAAGCAUGUUUGUUUGCCACCGAAGGGCCAGUGGCCGUUCUGUGAAGGCAGUGCAGCAGCGCUGGGUGAAAGCAAACAGGGGUGUGGGUUAUGGGUGGUCACAACGGAGAGCAGGGCCUUUGGGGAAGUGUCCCCUGUUCUGGAGGUCCCCACCAUCACGUUGCCUUCAGGGAAAAGACCACAGGACACAGCCUCCAUCUCCCAAGGUGUCCCUGGAUGAAGCAUCCCACGAAUGUGGAGCUGGGCCCACAUCACGUGCCCGUCACUGGGGCUGUUUGGCCCAGGCGAGCAGCACAGCACCACUGGGGACUGGCCCUGGCCAGAGCCCAACCCCCUGCCCGAGGGACAAAGGUAGGCUUGGACCCUGUGAGAUGGGCUUGAACUUCACCUUCCCUUCAGGAAGAGAGCAGAUGCCUCUGAAACGUCGAACUCCAGCUCCACAGCAGCCAGAAGCAGCUCUGCGAAGGCUUGUUAAUCCGUGCUGGCUGCUGUGGCAAGAGCUACUAAAAACGGGGAUCUGGCAUAGUCCCACAACAAACCCUGUACAAUGCAAAGCCAACACGGAGCGGCUGGGAAGUGGGAAGGGUUGGGUUGGAAAGAGCAGGUCAAGGGGGAUGGAGUCCGUGAAGCCAGCCCCGGCGCAGCACCAAACUCCUGCGCCUUUGGGAUGCUGUGAGCACAGGAAGGAAAGCAGCUCCGUCACCGGGGUUUAUGGUGACAGACACCCAUUUUGGUGGGGCUGAUGCUGGCUGGGGAUGGGAAUGGUACCACUGGUGUCCCCCUGACCUUGCAGAGGGGACAGGGAAAAGUGUACACAGUCCCCAGACUGGGAACAAGACAGCAAAAAUACAGCCCUCGCUGACUUCUUGUUAAGAGCAAUCCUUCCCGCAGCAGCACGUGUCUCUUCGGUAAAUACUGAUUUCACCUCUCAACAAAUCUGAAUUUAUUUACAUCAGAGACUUUGAGCCAGGACUGGCAACUCUGACAUAAAUUGUCUGAAUAAUGCAA